GUAAAGUAAGCUAACACAAGCUAUUGGGCCCAUACCCCAACAAUGCGGGCUAAAUCCCCGCCUUUACAU
rnacentral:tRNA from 1 species